UACAGGGGGUGCAAACGUUGCUCGGAAUCAUUGGGCGUAAAGCGCACGUAGGCGGUCUGUUAUGUCGGAUGUGAAAGCCCUCGGCUCAACCGAGGAAGUGCACCCGAAACUGCUGAGCUUGAGUGCCGGAGAGGGUGGCGGAAUUCCCCAAGUAGAGGUGAAAUUCGUAGAUAUGGGGAGGAACACCGGUGGCGAAGGCGGCCACCUGGACGGUAACUGACGCUGAGACGCGAAAGCGUGGGGAGCAAACAGG
rnacentral:rRNA from 1 species